rnacentral:sRNA from 1 species
CCUACUCUCUCUCUCUCUCUCUCUCUCUCUCUCUCUCUCUCUCUCUCUCUCUCUCUCUCUCUCUCUCGUGCAUCUCCAUAAACUAUC